UACGAAGGAUGCAAGCGUUAUCCGGAAUUAUUGGGUUUAAAGGGUGCGUAGGCGGACCUAUAAGUCAGUGGUGAAAGCCCCAAGCUCAACUUGGGAACUGCCAUUGAUACUGUUGGUCUUGAGUACAGUUGAGGUAGGCGGAAUGUGUCAUGUAGCGGUGAAAUGCUUAGAUAUGACACAGAACACCGAUUGCGAAGGCAGCUUGCUAAGCUGUAACUGACGCUGAUGCACGAAAGCGUGGGUAGCAAACAGG
rnacentral:rRNA from 1 species